UUUAUAUUCGUGUACUAUCGUGUACUAGAAGUCAGUUCCCGUUUUAUCAUUAUUGGAAUCGAUUGGAAUGGCUCUUAGCUGAAGCUUCUCUCUUCUCUAAAGCUUAUUCUGAAGACUGAACAACAAGGGAAGAGGUAUAAAGCUUUGUCAAGCUUGUUAAGGAGCAAUGGCUAAUAUCCAGCUAUCCCAACAGUGCUCCUCUUGGCUAUACUAACGGACGAGACUGGACAGUUUGAGACACAGGACUGGAGUAUGACCUGCUCAUUCGAGCGUUGCUGGGUAGCUCAGAGACAUCAAGAGAAUCUACGUUUUCUCAAGCAAUGAGUUACGAGUUGGGGCCUAGAAUCAGAGAAGUCCAGCAGCCUGCUAAAUCUUUUUGAAACGUAAUUUGAAGGCAUUCAAUCAUCCUGAAGUUGCCCUGGGUCACUGUAAUUGUGCUGCAGCACAACUGGCAACUCCCCAGGCCUUUGUGAAGCAGCUCCCUAUGUGCAUCUUUUGUGUACUCACUCUGUGCAUUUUCUGUGUACAAAUUUCGAUUAUUGAUUUAUUAAAUAUUUUUGCCGACCACAAA